rnacentral:rRNA from 1 species
AUUGAACGCUGGCGGCAUGCCUUACACAUGCAAGUCGAACGGCAGCAUAGGAGCUUGCUCCUGAUGGCGAGUGGCGAACGGGUGAGUAAUAUAUCGGAACGUGCCCUAGAGUGGGGGAUAACUAGUCGAAAGACUAGCUAAUACCGCAUACGAUCUACGGAUGAAAGUGGGGGAUCGCAAGACCUCAUGCUCCUGGAGCGGCCGAUAUCUGAUUAGCUGGUUGGUGGAGUAAAAGCUCACCAAGGCGACGAUCAGUAGCUGGUCGAAGAGGACGAACAGGCACACUGAGACUGAGCUACGGCCUAGACUCCUACGGGAGGCAGCAGUGGGGAAGUUUGGACAAUGGGGGCAACCCUGAUACAGCAAUGCCGCGUGAGUGAAGAAGGCCUUCGGGUUGUAAAGCUCUUUUGUCAGGGAAGAAACGGUUCUGGAUAAUACCUGGGACUAAUGACGGUACCUGAAGAAUAAGCACCGGCUAACUACGUGCCAGCCGCCGCCGUAAAAC